AGAUUGAACGCUGGCGGCAUGCCUUACACAUGCAAGUCGAACGGCAGCGCGGGGCAACCUGGCGGCGAGUGGCGAACGGGUGAGUAAUAUAUCGGAACGUACCCUGGAGUGGGGGAUAACGUAGCGAAAGUUACGCUAAUACCGCAUACAAUCUAAGGAUGAAAGUGGGGGAUUCGCAAGAACCUCAUGCUCCUGGAGCGGCCGAUAUCUGAUUAGCUAGUUGGCGGGUAAAGGCCCACCAAGGCGACGAUCCGUAGCUGGUCUGAGAGGAUGAUCAGCCACACUGGAACUGAGACACGGUCCAGACUCCUACGGGAGCAGCAGUAGGGAAUAUGGACAAUGGGCGCAAGCCUGAUCCAGCCAUGCCGCGUGUGUGAAGAAGGCCUUCGGUGUAAGCUACUUUGUACCGGAAAGAAAGCGCGUGGUUAACACCCGUGGUGUCCUGACGGUACGAAGAAUAAGCACCGGCUAACUCGUGCCAGCAGCCGUA
rnacentral:rRNA from 1 species